rnacentral:rRNA from 1 species
UACCAGCUCUCCGAGUAGUGUGGAUGUUUAUUGGGCCUAAAGCAUCCGUAGCUUGCUAAAUAAGUCCCCUGUUAAAUCCACCGAUUCAAUCGUUGGAUUGCGGAGGAUACUGUUUGGCUAGGGGACGGGAGAGGCCGACGGUAUUUCUGGGGUAGGGGUGAAAUCCUAUAAUCCCAGGAAGACCACCAGUGGCGAAGGCUGUCGGCUAGAACGCGCCCGACGGUGAGGGAUGAAAGCUGGGGGAGCGAACCGGAUUAGAUACCCGGGUAGUCCCAGCUGUAAACGAUGCAGGCUAGGUGUUUGGGCGGCUACGAGCCGCUCUAGUGCCGCAGGGAAGCUGUUAAGCCUGCCGCCUGGGGAGUACGGCCGCAAGGCUAGAAACUUAAGGAAUUGGGCGGGGAGCACCACGAAGGGGUGAAGCUCGGUCGGUUU